CACACGCGUUGUGCCCAGUCUAGUGACCAUCUCCUUUAAGUUAAAAAUUGCAGCUUUAAGCACAAUAUGUGGGAGUAACUCUCGGCGCCGGUUGUUUCAGGAUCGCAGAGUGACGCGGAAACCCAGUGACAGUAAGCGGGUGCUAGUACCUCUGACGAGAUGAGUGACUGCCCGGGAGGGCUGGAGGAAGCUUGUAUGAGACAGCUCAGCAAAGUCUGCGGAUCUGGUUAUGCUUCCUGUACGAGACAGAUCACGAAGCGGUUGCUGACUGACCAGUUGGGGCGAAAAUUUUUGUGGGAAGGACGUAAGAGAAAGUUGACAUUCAGGAACCUUCACCUUGCUGAGUGCAUCAUAAAUGCAGUGCAGAGCUGCCAUAAAUGUGAAGACUUCAAGGUAGAAACCAUGGUCACGGAUUAACUUCGCCACGCACCUGCCUGACAUCAGUCAUCUCAAAUGGAACAUUCUGCACCACAGGAGAGAGAGAUGUGAACUGCCUUAA